GAGCAGAUUAAUAGAGUAAGCAAAUAUAUUUGCAAUCACUCAAAGUUCCUUUAGUUUAUUCUCUAUUGUUUCUUUCAAAUGGCAAGGUUCUAUUUAGUUGGAAAAAGCCCUUCCACACUCUCCAUAAUUUUGUUCCUUGGAUUGCUACUGGCUAGCAUAGAUACAACAGGUGCUCAAAUAGGAGUUUGCUAUGGAAUGCUUGGUAAUAACCUGCCACCACCAGGACAAGUUAUAGAUCUCUACAAGCAGAAAAACAUCGGCAGAAUGCGACUCUAUGACCCAAACCCAAAUGCUCUCCAAGCCCUUGGAGGUUCCAAUAUAGAGCUCAUGCUUGGCCUUGUAAAUGAAGACCUUCAACGUAUUG
rnacentral:misc_RNA from 1 species